ACCACCAACACAUGGAGGUCCUACAGACGAGCCUGUUCUCAUGAAAAUAUACUGUACUGGUACUAUCAUACUAGCAAGGUCAAAGGUCACAACGGAGACAAAUGAGCAAACUGUACAACAAUGACCCUGGUGUUCCGAGCCUGGCGACACGGAUCCCAGAAGUCCAAGGGUUGGGCGCUCGGCUGGACGUGGGAAAACUGGGCACACCUGUUCCUAAUAAGGGCCGCUUGCAACUUAGGCUGAGUCGGGGCAUUGGAGACGCCGCUUCCUCGCUUUUCAUUCAAGUGACACGCCUAUGCUAAGCAGCUCGCCUGCACUCCGGCCAUCUCUCUCAUGACUCGCUAGCAUCUCCUGCACCAUUGGGCCGCCGUCUCCUCAUAUG